GAUUUUUUUAAAUUUGCUACUUUGUGUUGUUUCCUUUGUUAUUCUCUCAUGCUUGGAAAUUGGUUUUUGUUUCUCUUUUUCUUAGGAACCAAUUGAAAGGUUUGGGAUUGCACCAAGACUAUUUUCAAGAUUCCGAGAUUGAUAUGUCCUUAAAUUUAAAGUUUUAGGAUU